UUUUGCUCAAGAAAUGAUUUAAUUUAUUAAUGUUUUAUAAAAUUUGCAUAAAUAUAAAGUAAUAUGAAAAAAAAACAGAAUUUUAAACAAGCAUUGAGGAUACAGUCUAGUGAUAGAUGAUUUUGUCUUCACAGCUCAAGCAUUAGUUUUGUAUGUACACAUCUAUUAACAUUUUCUAAUUCAACACUCAUCAACAUCACAUUUACUAGGCAUAUCAACGCUCAUCAACCAUCACAUUUUUAUGUAAAUUGAACAAAACAUGCAAUAUUUGUUUGUUUGCAGCCUUUCUCUUGCAACACUUGCACAGACUGGAGGACCAGAGAUCUAAGCAGAAAUGCAUUAACAACACAUUUUGAUAUUCUACAGAAUAAGAUACAGAAAACACUUCCCUAAUAUGUCACAUGUGAAAAUAAAAAACCAUAGGUUAGCACCCUAAAACAAAAAUAGUUUUUCCACAACCAUUGAAAACAAAUUUACAAAUGCAAAUGUUUUGUUUUUAUAAAUAUCAUCCAGCUCUGUUGAAUUAGGCAAAACAUUAUGAGGACACAAUACAGUCAAUAGUAUACAUGAAGAGAGAGUUGUUAAAGAGUUGAAUGGUCAGUUGAGAAGGGGAAAAGAUGGGAAGUAGUGUAUUGGCAGUGUGAUAUCUGUAUACCUGGGAUUGUACAGUGUGAUAUCUGUAUACCUGGGAUUGUACAGUGUGAUAUCUGUAUACCUGGG